GACGAACGCUGGCGGCGUGCCUAAUACAUGCAAGUCGAACGCUUCUUUCCUCCCGAGUGCUUGCACUCAAUUGGAAAGAGGAGUGGCGGACGGGUGAGUAACACGUGGGUAACCUACCCAACAGAGGGGGAUAACACUUGGAAACAGGUGCUAAUACCGCAUAACAGUUUAUGCCGCAUGGCAUAAGAGUGAAAGGCGCUUUCGGGUGUCGUUGAUGGAUGGACCCGCGGUGCAUUAGCUAGUUGGUGAGGUAACGGCUCACCAAGGCCACGAUGCAUAGCCGACCUGAGAGGGUGAUCGGCCAAACUGGGACUGAGACACGGCCCAGACUCCUACGGGAGGCAGCAGUAGGGAAUCUUCGGCAAUGGACGAAAGUCUGACCGAGCAACGCCGCGUGAGUGAAGAAGGUUUUCGGAUCGUAAAACUCUGUUGUUAGAGAAGAACAAGGACGUUAGUAACUGAACGUCCCCUGACGGUAUCUAACCAGAAAGCCACGGCUAACUACGUG
rnacentral:rRNA from 1 species